rnacentral:rRNA from 1 species
UGCCAGCCGCCGCGGUAACACAGAGGGUGCAAACGUUGUUCGGAAUCACUGGGCAUAAAGCGCACGUAGGCUGCCAGGUUAGUGUGAAGUGAAAGCCCACGGCUCACCCGUGGAAUUGCUUUGCAUACUGCCUGGCUCGAGGACGGUAGGGGAGAGCAGAACUCCUGGAGGAGCGGUGAAAUGCGUAGAUAUCAGGAGGAAUACCAGUGGCGAAGGCGGCUCUCUGGUCCGUUUCUGACGCUGAGGUGCGAAAGCUAGGGGAGCGAACGGGAUUAGAUA